GGUCCCAUCGACUAACGGUUAGGUCACCAGCCUUUCACGCUGGCAGUAGGGGUUCGAAUCCCCUUGGGAUCACAA
rnacentral:tRNA from 1 species